CAGAGGCUUGAGCAAGCGUUUCUGGUAACUCUAGACCCUGAGUGGUAUGACUCCCAAGUUUAAUGGAGAGCCUCACAUUUGUUUGCUCCUCCUGCCCUGACUCAGGUGCUGUUUUGUACGGUUUGAUGAUUUUCAUUAUUGACUCUGAUUCUGUCUUAAUUAGUUUGCAAUGGAAAAGAAGAAUUUUGGAGAAAGAAAGUUCACUCUGUCUUUCUACUGAAAUAUUCUAUAAUGGCUACAGCGGUGCCUUUGGCAGGACAUCUGUGGAAGGGGACUUUGGGAUGGUGAAGCAGAACCUUAAUGACUUCAUGAAAGAUAAAAUUGAGAAGCACCAGCUGUCUGGAAAGAAACUUGAUUUUCAUGAUUUCCAGAGCAGAGUUGCAGAAGUUCUUGGGUAACCUUCAGAGAAACACUGACUCUCCUGCAUGCUGGUCUGAAGCACAUCUCCGAACUAUGAGGUGCAAUCACCUGCUGACUAUUGAGGGAACCUAAGGAAACUAGACCUUCUGGCUAAAGUCAGUCUUUGUGAAUAAUCUCCUGCAACUGCUCAGUCACUCUAAUGAGGAAG